UUCCCUGUACAUAUUUUUUUUCGGACAUGAGACUCCACAAAUAUGAUUAUAAAAAUUUCAGAACCUUGCAAGCUUUUCGGGAGGGAAGGGUGUUUGUGUUCUUGAUUCCUUUGGAAAGGAUCUUAUUUAUCUGGAUUAUGUAAAUCUUUAUGUUUAUCUAUACAUACAUACAGGCAUUUACACACAUGCAUACAUAAAGGGCACUCCCGAGAAUAGGAUAAACAGGAAUUUUUGAGAAGUUGUGAGUAUUGUUUAAAAUCUUGGCUCAUUUUUCAGAGAACGUAGUGUUCAAAUUUUAAAGCCACGUUGAGAAAAGAAUAAACCUUGUUGUGAUGAGGAAUAAAUCUGGCACAUUAAAGGCAAAAUACUUUCAAAUCUUCAAUGAAAAGAUCUCACAUCUAACCACCUGAGAAUUGAUUGGGAAUAUACCUGCCAUAGAAAAAUGCCACAUGUGUGAGGGUGGAUGCGACUGUGGCAAAUCCAAAGCCAUAGGUGAGAGCAAAAAACAUGCUUAAGUGAAUCUGUCCUUGCUCCUGAUACUUUGCUAGAUCUAGCUCAUACUUGCCCGUAACAAUAGCUGAUAUGUUGUAUAUUUUACCUCUGGCUGUAAACAAGUGUGACGAGAAAAUCGGAAAUCUACUUGCAUUGUACAUGUCAAAUGCCCAGUAUGCUGUUGGGAUUGCCGUGUAAACUACCAAUACGUAGAAUAUCACUAUGUAGCCUGCAAAAAUGUUGACGAUGGAGAAGAAAGGGCUGGUGAGGGGGCUGAACAAGAAAUAUGACACAGCAGACCAGUCAAGUGUCAGAGCGCCAAGUCCAAGGCCUUCCAUGCCAGAACCGAGCUGCUGGGCUGUAACUGACUUGGAGAAUACCCAGCAGACCCAUGAUAUGCUUGUGAGUGUAGAGAAGAGGUACCCUGGGACCAGGUACCAUGAGAAACUGCAGAUUAAUGCAAUCAGGAAGAACUUUGCCCGUGACAUACGCUCAUUCUCAUGUUCAUGCAAAGCCCUGCAAAUGUGUAUGUCAGAAUUUUAUGUAGAUGAAGUUUAUAUCAAGGAUUAAAAGAGUUAUUUUUUUAUGCCUA